UUCGGUACCAAAUCGUUGCAAACUAAGAAUACUAAGUGUACAGUUCAUCAGUGAGACUGUGGGGGAUAAGCUCCAUUGUCAAGAGGGAAACAGCCCAGAGCACCAGUUAAGGCCCCUAAAUAAUUGCUAAGUGAUAAAGGAGGUGGGAGUGCAUAGACAAUCAGGAGGUUUGCUUAGAAGCAGCAAUCCUUUAAAGAGUGCGUA
rnacentral:rRNA from 1 species